CGUCAGGCUCGGCGAGAGGAACGACGCGGCCAUCAAGACGUACCUGACCAGAUUGCGGGACAGGUACUCGAGCGUCCUGGACAGGCCCUGGGACAACAAGUACGCCAAUCACAGGAACGUCAAACAGUGGUCGCGAUAAUAAUAUGUACCACCCAGGUCAGAUGUCCCCUAACUGCGACCACGUAUAUAAUUUUCCUGUGCUGCUGAAUACAUCGUCCACAGAUCUCGAAAUAAGAAACCGACCAAGAAACGUUCUCACUAAAAAUAAUCAUAACUUUUUAUUAUUAUAUAAUAAUAUGUUAUAAAAGAAUAUAUAUUUUUUGUAUAAUUACAUUAUGCUGUCGGCCGUUGAAAAAAACACUUCAAAUAUAAUAGUUUGUGAACAUUGAAUUAUCCCCCCCCCCUGUAAAUUUGUAAUUUUUUUAUAUAUACGAUGAAUAUUUUUAGGAAACUUGUAAUUAUUAUAGAUAAAUAAAAUGUAAUGUAAAAUAUAUAAUGUGCUAUUACUGUUUGCUUGCUAAUUUUUUUAUUUCAUCUAAAACAUACAUUAUUAUAUAAUUGUCCAUAUAAUAACACUAAAAUAAACGUUUUUUGCUUGUUUUAUAAAAAA